GAUGAACGCUAGCUACAGGCUUAACACAUGCAAGUCGAGGGACCGGCGCCCGGGUGAGUAACACGUAUCCAACCUGCCCUUUACUCGGGGAUAGCCUUUCGACAGAAAGAUUAAUACCCGAUAUAAAGGAUUGGGAUGCGUUGCAUUAGGUUGUUGGUGAGGUAACGGCGCACCAAGCCUUCGAUGGAUAGGGGUUCUGAGAGGAAGGUCCCCCACAGUUGAACGUGAACACGGUCCGAACUCCUACUGGAGGCAGCAGUUAGGAAUAUUGGUCAAUUGGCGCUAGCCUGAACCAUCCAAGUAGCGUGAAGGAUGAAGGCUUAUGGGUCGUAAACUUCUUUUAUAUAAGAAUAUGUAUUAUAUGAAUAAGGAUCGGCUAACUCCGUGCCAGCAGCCGCGGUAAUUC
rnacentral:rRNA from 1 species